rfam:Myotis davidii contig35241, whole genome shotgun sequence.
GGUGGUCCUCGGGUGAUGCACCCCAGAAUCAGGCUCCCUUUUCUCUGAUUUCCAGUGCAUCACCUGAGAACCACA